rnacentral:rRNA from 1 species
CCUACGGGUGACAGCAGUGGGGAAUAUUGGGCAAUGGGCGCAAGCCUGACCCAGCCACGCCGCGUGAAGGAAGAAGGCUUUCGGGUUGUAAACUUCUUUUAAGAGGGAAGAACAGAAGACGUUACCUCUUCCAUAUGCUACGUCUAACUACGUGCCAGCAGCCGCGCUAAUACGGAGGGGGCAAGCGUGGUCCGGAUUUACUGGGGGUAAAGGGCGUGCAGCCGGGAAGACAAGUCAGAUGUGAAAGCCCGCGGCUCAACCGCGGAACUGCAUUUGAAACUGUUUUUCUGGAGUACCGUAGAGGUCAUCGGAAUUCCUUGUGUAGCGGUGAAAUGCGUAGAUAUAAGGAAGAACACCAGUGGCGAAGGCGGAUGACUGGACGGCAACUGACGGUGAGGCGCGAAAGCGUGGGGAGCAAACAGGAUUAGAUACCCGAGUAGUC